AAUAAGUACAGUUUUGUACUAUUCAUGUCUAACGUUUGACCGUUUGUUUUAUUUAAAAUUUAUUCGUGAUUAGUAUUUUUAUUGUUAUUAGAUGAUAAAACAUGAAUAAUAUUUUAUGGGUGACUAUUUUUUUUAGUUUUUUCAUAAAUUUUAAAUAAGACGAAUGGUCAAACGUUGGACACAGAUCCCACAACUGCAUUUAUU
rfam:Oryza glumipatula chromosome 4, whole genome shotgun sequence.